AGAAAGGUAAGCUAACUAAGCUAUUAGGUUCAUACCCUGCUUAUAGAAGAAAAUCUUCUCCUCUCUA
rnacentral:tRNA from 1 species